AUGAACGCUAGCUACAGGCUUAACACAUGCAAGUCGCGGGGCAGCAUGGGGGUUGCUUGCAAUCCCCGAUGGCGACCGGCGCACGGGUGAGUAACGCGUAUCCAACCUGCCCUUCACCACGGGAUAACCCGGCGAAAGUCGGACUAAUACCGUAUGUUGUCCAUUGACGGCAUCCGAUUUGGACGAAAGGCUUGGCGGUGAGGGAUGGGGAUGCGUCCGAUUAGCCAGACGGCGGGGUAACGGCCCACCGUGGCUACGAUCGGUAGGGGUUCUGAGAGGAAGGUCCCCCACACUGGAACUGAGACACGGUCCAGACUCCUACGGGAGGCAGCAGUGAGGAAUAGUGGUCAAUGGGCGUAAGCCUGAACCAGCCAAGUAGCGUGCAGGAUGACGGCCCUAUGGGUGGUAAACUGCUUUUAUGCGGGGAUAAAGUGGCCCACGUGUGGGCUUUUGCAGGUACCGCAUGAAUAAGGACCGGCUAAUUCCGUG
rnacentral:rRNA from 1 species